AGCAGUAGCCGCGGGAAUACGUAGGGCGCAAGCGUUAUCCGGAAUUAUUGGGCGUAAAGAGCUCGUAGGCGGUUUGUCGCGUCUGCCGUGAAAGUCCGGGGCUCAACCCCGGAUCUGCGGUGGGUACGGGCAGACUAGAGUGAUGUAGGGGAGACUGGAAUUCCUGGUGUAGCGGUGAAAUGCGCAGAUAUCAGGAGGAACACCGAUGGCGAAGGCAGGUCUCUGGGCAUUAACUGACGCUGAGGAGCGAAAGCAUGGGGAGCGAACAGGAUUAGAUACCCCGGUAGUCCCUGUCUCUUAUAC
rnacentral:rRNA from 1 species